CCAAGUUCUCUUGGUUUCCUCCCUCCCAGAACUAGGCUGCGCCUCACCGGCUGCAGCCUUUUCUUUUUCCGGA
rnacentral:sRNA from 1 species